GCCUCGGUAGUCUAAAGGCUUAAGACGUUUGCCCAGAAAACAAGAGAUCCGGGUUCGACUCCCAGCCGAGGUA
rnacentral:tRNA from 1 species